UGAAUACGAAAUGCUACGGCAUUGAAGUGAUCUAUGCCAUGCUUCCAAGAAAAUCUCGUCAUAUCUUAAAUAAUAAAUGCCUGUACCUUAAACCGACACAGGUAGGUAGGUAGAGUAUACCAAGGGGCGCGAGAUAACUCUCUCUAAGGAACUCGGCAAAAUAACCUCGUAACUUCGGAAGAAGAGGUACCCUUGAAAAAGGGUUGCAAUAACCAGACCCUGGCGACUGUUUACCAAAAACACAGGUCUCCGCUAAUUCGUAAGAUCAAGUAUGGAGGCUGACGCCUGCCCAGUGCCGGAAGGUUAAAGAAGUUGGUCAAUCUUCGGAUGAAGCUGGCGACUGAAGCCCCGGUGAACGGCGGCCGUAACGAUAACGGUCCUAAGGUAGCGAAGUUCCUUGUCGGGUAAGUUCCGACCCGCACGAAAGGCGUAACGAUCAGGGUGCUGUCUCGGAGAGAGACUCGGCGAAAUAGACAUGUCUGUGAAGAUGCGGACUACCUGCACCUGGACAGAAAGACCCUAUGAAGCUUUACUGUAUCUUGGAAUUGGGUUUGGGCCUUGUUUGCGCAGGAUAGGUGGGAGGCUGUGAAGAUAUUCUCGUGGGAAUAUUGGAGCCAACGGUGAGAUACCACUCUAGCGGCUAAAAUUCUAACUCUGAACCGUUAUCCGGUCAGAGAACAGUUUCAGGUGGGCAGUUUGACUGCGGCGGUCGCCUCCUAAAAGGUAACGGAGGCGCGCAAAGGUUCCCUCAGGCUGGUUGGACAUCAGUCGUAGAGUGUAAAGGCAUAAGGGAGCCUGACUGCGAGACCCACAAGUCGAGCAGAGACGAAAGUCGGCCUUAGUGAUCCGACGGUUCCACGUGGAAGGGCCGUCGCUCAACGGAUAAAAGUUACUCUAAGGAUAACAGGCUGAUCUCCCCCAAGAGUUCACAUCGACGGGGAGGUUUGGCACCUUGAUGUCGGCUCAUCGCAUCCUGGGGCGGUAGUACGUCCCAAGGGUUGGGCUGUUCGCCCAUGAAAGCGGUACGCGAGCUGGGUUCAGAACGUCGUGAGACAGUUCGGUCCAUAUCCGGUGCAGGCGUUAGAGCAUUGAAAGGAGUCCCCCUUAGUACGAGAGGACCGGGGGGAAUACACCGCUGGUGUACCAGUUAUCGUGCCAACGGUAAACGCUGGGUAGCCAUGUGUAGCGUGGAUAACUGCUGAAAGCAUCUAAGUAGGAAGCCCACCUUAAGAUGAGUGCUCUCACCGCUAUAAGCGGGUAAGGUCACGGUAAGAACAACCGUUAUAUAGGCAUUAAGUAUACAUGCAGUAAUGCAUUUAGCUGAGAUGUACCAACAGACCGAGGGCUUGAUC
rnacentral:rRNA from 1 species